GUUGAUCAAGUGUUGUUUGCAUGAUGGUUUUUCGUACCAUUGGUAGGUUUGAUGUGCCUGAUC
rnacentral:tRNA from 1 species